ACCGGAAGCAUUAGCAUUAGCCGUUACGCUUUUUUGGCUAAAAGUUGCAGGCUUGCCUUGUAGUGGCUUUGCUUAAAUUAGAUGUUUCAUGGGUGUUUGUU